CUGGCCCUGGCAGUGGCAGCCACGGCGGGCGCCGUCACGUUCGACGUGACGAACGAGGCGUCGAGCACGGCCGGCGGCCAGCGAUUCGACCAGGAGUACGGCGCCGCCUACGCCAAGCAGGUGCUGUCGGACGCGUCCUCCUUCACCUGGGGCAUCUUCAACCAGCCGGACCCCUCCGACCGCAGGCCCGCGGACAGCGACACCGUCACCCUCGCCGUCCGCGACACGGACGGCAUCGCCGCCACCAGCGGCAGCACGGUCGAGCUCAGCGUCCGCUACGUCGGCGGCAUCACCGGCGACGACCUCAAGGACCAGGUCACCGGGGUGCUGUACCACGAGGUGGCGCACGUGUGGCAGUGGGGGCUGCAGGACUACGGCGCGCACUCGGGGGUCUUCGAGGGCAUUGCGGACUACGUGCGGCUCAAGGCCGGGUACGUGCCGGGGCACUGGGUGAAGGAGGGCGGCGGCGACCGGUGGGAUCAGGGGUACGACGUGACGGCCAGGUUCCUGGACUACUGCGACUCGCUCAAACCCGGCUUCGUGGCGGAGAUGAACGGCAAGCUCAAGGACGGCUACAGCGACGACUACUUCGUGCAGAUCCUGGGGAAGAGCGUGGACCAGCUGUGGAGCGAUUACAAGGCCAAAUAUCCUGGGGUUUAG
rnacentral:rRNA from 1 species